UUACAGCCAUAUCAUGUUGAAACACCGGUUCUCAUAUGAUCACCCAAGUUAAGCAAUGUUGAGCCUGGUCAGUACCUAGAUGAGUGAUCACUUGGGAAUACCAGGUGUUGUAA